GGCAUUUGGCUGUGGAGCGAUGGGAGUCCCUUCCACUACUCUCACUGGUGCAGUGGAGAGCCAAAUAAUGACACAUACCAGCACUGCAUACAGAUGAACUAUGGAGGAUCCAAGUGCUGGGAUGACGUGUGGUGCAACCGUUAUCUUCCAUCAGUCUGUGCCAAAAACAUCUGAGAUCUCUCCGACAGAAAUCCAACAAACAGGACUGGAUGUCUUGUUAUGUGUGUCUGCUUUUACAUUUUAAUGAUCAAACUUGAUUAAAAAUUUAAAAAUGAUUUUCCAAAGUUUUGUAAGAUUUUCCCUGUGUGAUAAAUAAAAUAAUCAAGAUAUAGAAAUUAAACAUUUGAAUUCAUUAAACUAGUUUGUGAACCAAA